rnacentral:rRNA from 1 species
GAUGAACGCUAGCUACAGGCUUAACACAUGCAAGUCGAGGGGCAGCAUGCAGGUAGCUUGCUAUCUGUGAUGGCGACCGGCGCACGGGUGAGUAACGCGUAUCCAACCUUCCCCGUAGUAGGGCACAGCCCGGCGAAAGUCGGAUUAAUUCCCUAUGUUCUUGACAGCAGACAUCUAACGUCAAGCAAAGAUUCAUCGGCAAUGGAUGAGGAUGCGUCUGAUUAGCUAGUUGGCGGGGUAACGGCCCACCAAGGCGACGAUCAGUAGGGGUUCUGAGAGGAAGGUCCCCCACAUUGGAACUGAGACACGGUCCAAACUCC